rnacentral:rRNA from 1 species
CCUACGGGAGGCAGCAGUGAGGAAUAUUGGUCAAUGGACGAGAGUCUGAUCCAGCCAAGUCGCGUGAAGGAUGAAUGCCCUAUGGGUUGUAAGCUUCUUUUAUAUGGGAGUAAACAGUUACACGUGUGGGCUUUUGUAUGUACCUUAUGAAUAAGAAUCGGAUAACUCCGUGCCGGCAGCCGCGGUAAUACGGAGGGUCCGAUCGUUAUCUGGAUUUAUUGGGUUUAAAGGGAGCGUAGGUGGAUGGUUAAGUCAGUUGUGAAAGUGUGCGGCUUAACCGUAAAAUGGCAGUUGAAACUGGCAGGCUUGAGUACAGUAGAGGUGGGCGGAAUUCGUGGUGUAGCGGUGAAAUGCGGAGAGAUCACGAAGAACUCCGAUGGCGAAGGCAGCUCACUGGACUGCAACUGACACUGAGGCUCGAAAGUGUGGGGAGCAAACAGGAUUAGAUACCCGGGUAGUC